rnacentral:rRNA from 1 species
UAAUACGUAGGGGGCUAGCGUUGUCCGGAAUCAUUGGGCGUAAAGAGCGUGUAGGCGGCCCGGUAAGUCCGCUGUAAAAGUCAAAGGCUCAACCUUUGAAUGUCAGUGGAUACUGCCGGGCUAGAGUCCGGAAGAGGCGAGUGGAACUCCUGGUGUAGCGGUGGAAUGCGCAGAUAUCAGGAAGAACACCAACGGCGAAGGCAGCUCGCUGGGACGG